GUACCCUCAAGCUCUGCUUGGUGUUGGGUGAUUGUCCCGCCUUGGGCGCGGACUCGCCUUAAAGCAAUUGGCAGCCGGCAUACUGGUCUUGGAGCGCAGCACAACUUGCACUUCCUGCCAGCAUGGCGGCGUCCACAAGCCUAUUUUCUUGC
rnacentral:misc_RNA from 1 species